CGAACGCUGGCGGCGUGCUUAACACAUGCAAGUCGAACGAGACGAUUGAAAGCUUGCUUUUGAAAGUCGAGUGGCAAACGGGUGAGUAACGCGUAGACAACCUGCCUUUGAGAUGGGGACAACAGUCCGAAAGGACUGCUAAUACCGAAUGUUGUGGAACUUCCGCAUGGAAGCUCCACCAAAGAUGACCUCUUCCUGAAAGUUAUCGCUCAAAGAUGGGUCUGCGUCUGAUUAGCUAGUUGGUGGGGUAACGGCUUACCAAGGCGACGAUCAGUAGCCGGUCUGAGAGGAUGAACGGCCACAUUGGAACUGAGACACGGUCCAGACUCCUACGGGAGGCAGCAGUGGGGAAUCUUCCGCAAUGGGCGCAAGCCUGACGGAGCAACGCCGCGUGAGUGAAGAAGGGUUUCGACUCGUAAAGCUCUGUUGUCGGGGACGAAUGUGGAGAUGGUGAAUAACCAUUUUCAAUGACGGUACCUGACGAGAAAGCCACGGCUAACUACGUG
rnacentral:rRNA from 1 species